GGGGAAUCUUGGACAAUGGGGGCAACCCUGAUCCAGCGACGCCGCGUGGGUGAUGAAGGCCUUCGGGUUGUAAAGCCCUUUCACCGGGGACGAUGAUGACGGUACCCGGAGAAGAAGCACCGGCUAACUCCGUGCCAGCAGCCGCGGUAAGACGGAGGGUGCUAGCGUUGUUCGGAAUCACUGGGCGUAAAGGGCGCGUAGGCGGCCAAGGCAGUCGGCUUUGUGAAAGCCCGGGGCUCAACCCCGGAGGUGCGGCCGAUACUCUUUGGCUGGAGGCCGGAAGAGGAGGGUGGAAUACCCAGUGUAGAGGUGAAAUUCGUAGAUAUUGGGUGGAACACCGGUGGCGAAAGCGGCUCUCUGGUCCGGACCUGACGCUGAGGCGCGAAAGCGUGGGGGGCAA
rnacentral:rRNA from 1 species